UAGCAGGAUUAAUCAAAAGAUUAUGGACAGAUAUCCAUCCAUCCAUCCAUUAUCUAUACCUCUUUAUCGGGCUGGAGACAAUUCCAGCUGAGCUUGAGUGGGAGGCAGAGCGGGAGCCGGAGUACCUAUAGAAGACCCACGCAGACACGGGAGAAUAUGCAAACUCUACAAAGAAAGGCCCUGGAUGGUCCAAACCUCCUGGAUUCAGACCAAGAACCCUCUUGCUGUGAGGUGUCAGCAAUGGAGAUCCACAGGUGCUCCCAGAACAACUAAGAGAGUCGUCCCCCACCAAUUGAUUCUUCAACCGAUAUUAAAUGGGCUUCUGUGUCGUAUUUAUUUUAAAGUUGGGGUUUUCUGUUCGAUUUCAAUUAGAAGGUCACCA